rnacentral:rRNA from 1 species
CUUGGGUCAUUUAGAGGAAGUAAAAGUCGUAACAAGGUUUCCGUAGGUGAACCUGCGGAAGGAUCAUUACCGAGUGAGGGCCCUUUGGGUCCAACCUCCCACCCAUGUUUAUUUUACCUUGUUGCUUCGGCGGGCCCGCCUUAACUGGCCGCCGGGGGGCUUACGCCCCCGGGCCCGCGCCCGCCGAAGACACCCUCGAACUCUGUCUGAAGAUUGUAGUCUGAGUGAAAAUAUAAAUUAUUUAAAACUUUCAACAACGGAUCUCUUGGUUCCGGCAUCGAUGAAGAACGCAGCGAAAUGCGAUACGUAAUGUGAAUUGCAAAUUCAGUGAAUCAUCGAGUCUUUGAACGCACAUUGCGCCCCCUGGUAUUCCGGGGGGCAUGCCUGUCCGAGCGUCAUUGCUGCCCUCAAGCCCGGCUUGUGUGUUGGGCCCCGUCCUCCGAUUCCGGGGGACGGGCCCGAAAGGCAGCGGCGGCACCGCGUCCGGUCCUCGAGCGUAUGGGGCUUUGUCACCCGCUCUGUAGGCCCGGCCGGCGCUUGCCGAUCAACCCAAAUUUUUAUCCAGGUUGACCUCGGAUCAGGUAGGGAUACCCCCUGAACUUAAGCAUAUCAAUAAGCGGAGGA